UACGUAGGUGGCAAGCGUUAUCCGGAUUUAUUGGGCGUAAAGGGAACGCAGGCGGUCUUUUAAGUCUGAUGUGAAAGCCUUCGGCUUAACCGGAGUAGUGCAUUGGAAACUGGGAGACUUGAGUGCAGAAGAGGAGAGUGGAACUCCAUGUGUAGCGGUGAAAUGCGUUGAUAUAUGGAAGAACACCAGUGGCGAAAGCGGCUCUCUGGUCUGUAACUGACGCUGAGGUUCGAAAGCGUGGGUAGCAAACAGG
rnacentral:rRNA from 1 species